rnacentral:rRNA from 1 species
AUUGAACGCUGGCGGCAGGCUUAACACAUGCAAGUCGAGCGGAGUGAUGGUGCUUGCACUAUCACUUAGCGGCGGACGGGUGAGUAAUGCUUAGGAAUCUGCCUAUUAGUGGGGGACAACAUCUCGAAAGGGAUGCUAAUACCGCAUACGCCCUACGGGAGAAAGCAGGGGAUCACUUGUGACCUUGCGCUAAUAGAUGAGCCUAAGUCGGAUUAGCUAGUUGGUGGGGUAAAGGCCUACCAAGGCGACGAUCUGUAGGGGGUCUGAGAGGAUGAUCCGCCACACUGGGACUGAGACACGGCCCAGACUCCUACGGGAGGCAGCAGUGGGGAAUAUUGGACAAUGGGGGGAACCCUGAUCCAGCCAUGCCGCGUGUGUGAAGAAGGCCUUAUGGUUGUAAAGCACUUUAAGCGAGGAGGAGGCUCUUUUGGUUAAUACCCAAGAUGAGUGGACGUUACUCGCAGAAUAAGCACCGGCUAACUCUGUGCCAGCCGCCGCGGUAAGAC